GCUAUGAUGGCCAAGUGGUUAUGGUGUUGGCUUUGAAAUCCAAUGGGGCUACCCCACGCAGGUUCAAGUCCUGCUCACAGCG